AGCUUUGCGCAGUGGCAGUAUCGUAGCCAAUGAGGUUUAUCCGAGGCGCAAUUAUUGCUAAUAGAAGUCCGUCCUUUCUCACUAUCCAUAUUCAGUACACUAGCAAGACAGGAAAACUUCCUUUAAAAUAUAUUUAUC